UACGGGGGGAGCAAGCGUUGUUCGGAUUUACUGGGCGUAAAGGGCGCGUAGGCGGCCUUCUAAGUCAGACGUGAAAUCCCCCGGCUUAACCUGGGAACUGCGUCUGAUACUGGGAGGCUUGAGUAUGGGAGAGGGAUGUAGAAUUCCAGGUGUAGCGGUGAAAUGCGUAGAUAUCUGGAGGAAUACCGGUGGCGAAGGCGGCAUCCUGGACCAUUACUGACGCUGAGGUGCGAAAGCUAGGGGAGCAAACGGG
rnacentral:rRNA from 1 species